CACAGUUUGUGCUGAUAAGGUGACCUAAUUUACUUAAAAGUGAAAUGGAGAAGCUCAGUGAAAAUUGAGUGAAUCCUAAAUUAUGUGUUGAACAGCUCCAUUAGCAGAAGGGCCAUAGGCAAAAAGGGUGGGGGACAUGUAGCCAGAAACAGGUGUUUACUCUGAACAGGAUUAAGAUAAGGGACAUGAAAUAAUCUCACUUAACUCAACCAUUUUGCCGCCCAAAAGGCCUGGUAGAGGAGGAGGAGGGUGUUUUAAGUAACCUAGUUUCUAAUUCUUUCUCCCUCUUUGUUAUAAAUGAUGCAGCUAAUGGCUUUCCUGCCAUUUCCUGCGGGGGGGGGGGUGUUAGUCCUCAAGACAAAGCCAUGAGUAUCAAGCAGUUUUCUCAGAUGAUUUUCAUUUUUUUCAGAUGAUUUUUUUAAUUGCAUUAAUCUUCCCGGAACAACUCUGAAAUUCUUUUUGUCCUUGCAUUCACUCUCCCAAGAUACCUAUGAACCACCAUUCAUCAUUUUAGACUUCCCAUCAUGUGACUAUGGCUCUUUUCUGAUGUUGUGGGCAAGUCAAAUCCUUUGAGAGGAUUUGCCACACAUAACUUCAUCAAUGGCUGUUGGUCUCUUCUGUUCUUCACUUGGCUCUUGAGAGGCCCCACAGCCUGUGCCCAAAUGACACAUGUUAGUGAUCUCUUCCCAAAGGAUCCUAUUCAAAUGCAACAGAAUUUCUUUGUAUAUUUGAAUAUUUUCCUGCAGCAGUUUGAAGCUGUGAGUCCCUGCUCUGUGCAUAGACCAUUAGAUAUCACUAUAAUCCACAAAGCUUGGAAAUAUUGCAGGACAUUUGGUGAAUUAAAAGGCAGUCUUGGGACCCUCUUAAGCCUACAGGAGAAGUUUCAACACAUGUUGCAAGAGGAGAAAGUAAUGCAAAGAAAGAGUAAUUUCAGUCUUCUCUGCUGAUUACCCCUCUCAGAACUCUCCCUCCUCUUCCUCCAUGGGGGUUUGCAAGGGCAGCUGGUUGCAAGGCUGCAGCUGUUCUUAAUUGUUGAUUUUAGCUUUGCAGUGGUCUCUAGUGGGAGAGGAUGCCAUAUCUGCCCCUUGGAAUGGACUUACAGGUGUUUGAGAAAUGUUUUCUUUUCUACGGGUUACUUGACACUCUUAACAGACAAGCUAUUAUGAUAUACUGGCUGAUGUCAGGAGACAUGGGCUUAAAUAGCGCUUGUCUUCUUCCUCCAUUCCUCUCACAUGGACCUGUUCAAGAUCUGCUUUUUGUGCAUUUCCCAGUCAUUCUCCUCUCCCUGCUCCCUUCAAAUGUGCAGGAUACAUCAACAGCAAAAGAGAAUAUCAGGUGUAAGAUCUUUACGAACUUGUUCAAAGCAGGCCCAGGUUAAAAUGGGUUUCAAAUUGAAAGGCCUUGUUUUUAAAAAAAGAGAAUAUAAGAAAUAGUAGGGUUUUUUUUUUUUUAAAGACUGCUAUUUGGGUAAAAACAAAACUGGUUUGAUUUUUGUUUUGUUUUUUAAGAAUGAAUAUGCUAGAACUUGGGUUUCAAGUUUGAGCUUGAGCAUACCUUCGUGCUUGUUCUGUUGACAUCAUGAUGGAGUUUCAUUUGCUGGCUGCAGAUGUCAUGUGUAAUGAUAGUAACACACUGAAUGUAUUCAUUUGAAUGUAUCAGUGUUAGCACAGUCCCUUAGAUUUUGGGCAACUAGGCCUUCUUCCCUGAACCCCAUACCUGCUCUGGCCCACUUCUGACCAAUUCCUCACCCUUACCCUGAUAGCCCACUUCUAGACUAUUCUCUGCGACAGCAUCUAGACUUCUGUGUCUACCCUGGUGUGCACACUCCUAGGUCUGAAGAGUGGCUAUAUUUGGAGGUGGAAUAAGAGGGAAUAGAGCCUGCACAUGCUGGCUGGAGUGUCCACAUGCAUGUAGUCUUUGCUUCUUAGGUGCAUCUCAGAGCUGGGUGAGCAAAGAAAGGGAGUACCCCAGGCAUAAUCUCCGUGUAUAUUCUUGCCUGAAUCUUAUGCAUAUUAGGGAUGAGCCUGCAUACUUCCUCUUACUGACCAGUGCAAUGCUUCAUGCUUCAAAACAGGCAAAUAAACGUGGGCUUUAAUUUUAAAAUUAGGUUAAAGGUCUCACUCAUUCUAGAUCUAAAAGGCGAGUGCAUAGGAAUUGAGUCUCAAAGGAAAGAGAAAGUGAAACUGACCAGUUUAUGUCCCCUUCCCACCUUUAUUUUUUGUGUCUUUUUAGGGCCUCACCUGAGGCAUAUGGAGGCUCCCAGGCUAGGGGUCCAAUUGGAGCUGUAGCUGCUGGUCUAUGCUACAGCCACAGCAAUGCCAGAUCCUUAACCCACUGAGCAAGGCUAGGGAUUGAACCUGCAUCCUCAGGGAUGCUAGUCAGAUUCACGUCUGCUGAGCCACAACGGGAACUCCCCCUUCACCUUUUUAAGAUAUGCGAAUUGCUUCUUUCAGCAGACUGCAUUAUUCUGAUGCUGAUUUAAAUGUUUGAAAGUUACUGAUACAACUUCGAAUAAAGUACAUCUGAAGGAUCAGUAGUAGCAUUUUGUUGCACUGCAGUAAAUGUUGAACAGUAUUUUAAAAAGCCACAAAUUGUGCCAGGGUCUUGAAGGCUGUUCAGGUUCAGAGUUAUGUUAAUAAGCAUAACCACAAAUCUGAAUUCUAUUAGUUAAGUCAAACACCUGGACCAAUCAACCAAGGAAAAGGCUCCACAAAUUCAUUACAGUUCCCAGCCUGGUAAGGGCUCUGUAAAUAUUUACUGUAUCUUAAAAAUUAACCCAAAUGUCUGAAAAUAAUUUGCUUGCAAUAGUAUUUUGUGUAAUAGUCCAAGACAGAGUCAACCUAAAUCUCAUGGUGUUUCAAGGUGUUUCAGUGGCACUAAAAGCCAACCCUAGCUUCCAAAGCCAUGAUGACGGGUCAUAGAUAUUUUAAAGUAAGAAAGUGGAGCUAAAUUUUCCACUUACUAUCAAGCAGAUGCAAGAGUAUACACACCUCAGUGAGAUUUGACUCAUAUCCAGAAAACUGGCCCACUUCAGUCUCAGCUUCAUAAUGGUUUCAGUGCAUUCACUGGCCAUUGUCCCUUUGAUCUUUGGUUCCCUGAUUUGAAGUGGUCUAACAUAAACAGUGCACAAUGAUUUCCUUUAGGUUCUAUCCAGGAGGGUAUAUUCUCUUUCUGUGCUUGUGGAUGAGUUUGGGAAUGGGCGACUAGAGGAGGAGUUAUGUAUUCAUAAGGUUAACAGGCUCUGAUGAGGAUGUUCACUGGGAGCCCAAGGUAAUUCAUUAAGUGGCUCCAGCCUCCCACUUCUUGGCUCCCUCUUUGCCUUAAAGCAUUUUGGGGAUUUUUUCCCCCACUAACGAUCCUAUUUCCUUACCCUAAACACCUUAAUUCAUAUUUUAUCUAUUAUGUUCCUAAAUGACCUUAAAUCUCAGUAUUUUUCCAAGGGACCUUAAACUCAUUAGUGGUUGUUAAGUUAAUGGAUCAAAUCAGCACUGAAAAAUGAAGUAGAAUGAAACGGAAGAGAAAUUAUCAGAGCACAUCUUAGGCAGCAGGGAAAGUAUUGGUUUUGCUAACAGUUGUGUGUAUAGGAGACAAUACUGAGUGGUGCUACAAAAUGUAUUCUUUACAUGGAUGGUUAUGAGAAGAAGGUGAAAAGCAAGGUCUUAGGGCAAGUUGUUUCAUUUUUAGGCACAUGGCAGGCAUUAGGGAGGGGGAGAUAUCACAGUAGGAGAUUUUCUAUACAUAACUUCCACUGCUCCAUGUAGACAGCCACCUUCCUAGUCUGCCUCCUCAUUCAGGGUCAUACCUUUUGACAUUGGUCCUUUAUCUUCGCUUGGUGGAGGAUCAUCAGGAAAUCAGAAUAUUCUUCAGUGAAUACUUUUUUGCUUGUAAGGUGCUUUUGCCCACUUGAUUAUGGAUUGUAGAUUCCAAAAGCUACGUUCAUCCCAGAGAGGAGGUUAGGUUCAAAUUCCUGCCUCUGAGAAUCCUCCAGCAUGAUAUUCUUUAGCUGGUUUUUGGUUUUUGAUAAUUCACUGUUAACAUGGCCACAGUCUAGAAGGUGAUGCAUUUAUCUGAAAGUAUUUCCUAUGUCUGAGUAACGUUUAACUUUUGAAGUUAUGUUGCUGUUAUUUAAGUGAGGUAUGAUUGGCCUAUGAUGUCUCCAGUAGCCAAGGGAUGAUUUUUGAAGGGAAUGCAACAAACAAGUGGUACUGGUUUUUAAGAAUGAAGCUAACAAGUAGAUAUCCUGGCUGCUAAGCAACUUCGUGGAGGCAGGGACAGCCCAGCAUCUUAUUUCUUUCUGGUUCAUGGAGGUCUCCACUGAGAGCUGUUUUGCAGAGGGACUGUAUCUCACCACCGUUCCAGAGCCCCAACUCUUCCACUCUGGGACCAGCUUUUGCCAACACUUCUAUUUAUUGCAAAUCAGUUACUGUUUAUUAAAAGCCCACUAGUACGAUUCCCCUGGGGUCUGUGCAGACUGGGGAGAACUCUGGGAUGAAAAGAUGGAGGCUUACCUCUAGAGCCUUUAGUUAGUGGAACUUACUUAUUUUCAAGCCCUUUCAUCAAGUGAAGCUGGCUGAUGCCAAGGAGAGUGGGAGUCAUAUUGGUUUUGUGUCUCCAUUGAAAGCUCUUCAUAUUCACCAAAAAAACCAAAAAAACAAAAAACCACCUCAGAGAAAUCUUAAGCUCAGAAGGAGUUAAGCUGUGUGUCUGCACAGUGUGGCUUUGUUCUGGCAAUGUCCCAUCAGUUUAGGUCAUUUCUGAUGACUUCACUCUCCUGGUGACAUCAGCUUCUAAUCUCCUGAAGGUGAAUUCAUGUGCGAUUGCUUCAAAAUACUCACUCCCCGAGUUCCAGGCCAUUCCCGUUGAUAUAUGGACAGAGCUUGUCUUUCCCAGGCCGCAGUCUGGUCUGUGUGCUGCAUUUGUGCUUACUGUAUCAUAUUACCAUGUGGACAUUAUGUCACUAACUGGCACAGCCCAGCUCAAAAAUGAAAUGUGCUUUCGCAAGCAAAAAACCAAAAGCUAACAUCACUCCUUCUUAUGCCCUACCCCAGGUAUAAAAUAAAAAGUUUAGAAAGGAUGGCUUGGCUAUAUUUUGGCUGGAUAUUUUUCUAAGUGCUCUCUUCUUUUUGCACCCUCUAUGUGGUCUGAAUGUUGCUGGUAUCUUUAUUAUAGUUUUCAGUUCAUUAUACCUACUAACUAUUAAAAAUGUUUGGUUACUGGUGGCACAAAUUAAAUCUAAGACCUUCAAAUAAUUUAGGUUAGCCUUGUUUUAAAAUAUCAAGUUUGUAAAUGAAAGUAGCCUGUUUACCUUCUAGGACCAUUUCCUCUCCUUUGCCUUUCAAAUGUCUUGAGAAAAUAAAGAGUUGUCAGGAAAGUAGCUCAGGCUUAUUGGAUGGGCGCCCAGAGUCCAUGUCAACCAAGGUGUUGUAGCUGUGCACUUGCCCAAAGCUGACAGGGAUGUGAAGCCUCUGGGGAUGGUGGGACAUGGCCUGGAAAGUCCCCAGAGUUUGCCUAGUCUUAGGCCAGUGUAAGCACAUGUUCUGCCCUUUUCUGCCCUUCUCCAGUUAUGUCACUAGGGAUACAGAAAACCAUAAGGUCUCUGUGAGCCCUGCUGUCCUCCCAUGGCUCCCAUCACUGCGAGGAGGGAGUGUGCUCUUUUGGGGUUCUCACAUGGGCCAAAAAGGGACAGAGAAGGGGAGACUGCCUGCAGAGAAACAGAGUCCCACACCUUUUCCAGGACCUUGUGCAUCCAUGUCUUCUUUUGAUGAAUGGCUCUUGGCAGUCAACAGUACCUUCUGAUGAAGAGCUGGCAGGGUGCACAUUGGAGUUUAAAAUCAUGUCAGGAAAAUUUCAUACCAACAGUAUUUCUAAGAGGAGAGCCUGGUGUUUGAACAGGCCAAAGCAAUGCCACUUUCACUGUUUAUCUUCAUUUCAUAUUGAAGGGAAAGAAAGAAACGAAUAGAGCAAUUUACUCUUAGAAGUGUCACAGUGCAAUUUUCAAAUAGUCAUGACUGUAAUAUUCAGUUUUGGAGUCAUUCCAUAGACUACAGGGGUACUGAAAACAUAUUCUUUUUUUCUUUACCUCUUCCCAUUUAGAGGCUCUUAUGUUUUUUGCGUAAGGAAGUAAAAUCUCUGAGUGACUUGCAGAUAUAUUUUUAUAUGUAGGGGUAGUUAGGCUUUCUGAGUUUCAGAUCUGUUUUAGUUGAGGAUGGGGUGGGGGUUGGAGAUUGGCUGCAUCAGAGGAAACUGGUGAACUCUUAGUCCAGGAUGCUGGCACCAUUACCAUUCACAUCUGCUCAGGACAUAUGAAGAGACUGGACUUUUUUAAGGUCUAGUACGAAGGAAACCAACUUCCUUUCUCCUCCUGCUGCAUUUCCAAAGUGGAAAUGUUAGAGAAGCCUCUUUACAAACACAUUUUUUUUUUUUUGGUCUUUUUUUAGGGCCGCACCGACCGCAUAUGGAAGUUCCCAGGCUAGAGGGUGAAUUGGAGCUGCUGCUGCUGGCCACAGCCACAGCCAUAGCAACGUGAGAUCUGACCCGUGUCUGUAACCUACACCACAGCUCACAGCAAUGCCAGCUCCUUAACCUACUGAGACAGUCUGGGAUCGAACCCAUGUUCUCAUGGAUAUCUGUUGGGCUCGUUACCGCUGAGCCA
rnacentral:lncRNA from 1 species